rnacentral:piRNA from 1 species
UGGAUCUUUUGAAAUCGUACA